AUAUCAAUAAGCGGAGGAAAAGAAACUAACAAGGAUUCCCCUAGUAGCGGCGAGCGAAGCGGGAAGAGCUCAAAUUUGUAAUCUGGCGCUUUCAGCGUCCGAGUUGUAAUCUCUAGAAAUGUUUUCCGCGUUGCACCGCACACAAGUCUGUUGGAAUACAGCGGCACAGUGGUGAGACCCCCGUUCAUGGUGCGGAUGCGCAAUGCUUUGUGAUACAUUUUCGAAGAGUCGAGUUGUUUGGGAAUGCAGCUCAAAUUGGGUGGUAAAUUCCAUCUAAAGCUAAAUAUUGGCGAGAGACCGAUAGCGAACAAGUACCGUGAGGGAAAGAUGAAAAGCACUUUGGAAAGAGAGUUAACAGUAC
rnacentral:rRNA from 1 species